GUAAAGUCUCACAGUGGAUGAAAUUUUGCUGGAAAAUGUGUUCCUCUUUGGUGAGAAAAACAAAGGCCCUUUGAGGCAUGUGGACAGUUGUAUGCUGGUGACACGAUUCCUGUCUGGAACAUGAUUCAGGGAAUGGAAGAAAGCAGUUCCUGGAGUCUCUUUGGCUGAGGAUGAGAAAAUGUUAGAAUGCAAGAAAAUACCAAGUGAGGCAACACAACUGUUUGAGAUGGGGAAACCUGAUUAGGAAUCCUUUUAAUAAAGUGUCUGGAAAUUU